rnacentral:lncRNA from 1 species
CAGGUCACAUAAUUGCCUGGAACAUUCCCAUUGUACAGCUGAUCUUUGGGUAGGUAGGUACUGUGUUGGUCUGAGUUCGGACUUGUAAAUAGGCCACGGUACCCUCAAUCUAUAUAAAUAGAUACUAACUAGAUGCACAGCAUUAUUCAGAGAUCGAGAACUAAGGCGAAUGACAUUUGCACGACGAGAAGGUACAUCUAAAUUAGUUAUCGCUUUAAUAAACAAUUAAAUUAACACGAGUUUGGCAAACAUUUAUUCUAUCUGUGUAUUUGUUAAAAACUUACUUUUUAUUACUGCAUAAUCCUUUGUUUUCGAUUGUGAAUAGUGAUUUUAGUAUAAAGCGAUAUACAUUAAUUGCGUUUUGAAGUCAAAACAAAUUUAGUGGAAAUAUUUUUUCUGUGAUCAAAGAGUAUAAGCUAUCCAAUACAAUGUUAUCUGAUACUGGCGGGCUAAAAGUUCUGUCCUUAUUGGCAAUGUAUGGAAUGAGUCACAGUAAAUUCAAUGAUGUCUAAAAUGCUGUUCACAUUAAUCCUGUUACUGUUAUAAAUGCGAAAAUAUGUAGUGAAGGAUGGAUAGAUGUUUCUUGCUCUUUCACGCAAAAACUGCCAAUUGAAUGAAAUUUGGCACACGUGGAGAUCAUAUCCUAUCUUAGCCCUUAGAACACUAUAUAUAUUGAGUGAAUCACUCGAGCGAAGCCACGGGAUUCAAUAUAUAAAGUAUAUCUAAGGAUGAUACUGAUGAUGUUUUAUACUAAACCAAAC